GACAGAGGUCCCGAGCGUUAGGCGGAAUCACUGGGCUUAAAGCGUGUGUAGGCGGCUCGUUAAGUACCUUGUGAAAUCCCACGGCUUAACCGUGGAACUGCUUGGUAUACUGGCGAUCUUGAGCCACUUAGGGGCUACCGGAACAAAUGGUGGAGCGGUGAAAUGCGUAGAUAUCUGGAGGAAUACCGGUGGCGAAGGCGGCAUCCUGGACCGACAUUGACGCUGAGGAGCGAAAGCUAGGGGAGCAAACGGG
rnacentral:rRNA from 1 species